GGGUUGUGAGGUUAAGCGACUAAGCGUACACGGUGGAUGCCCUGGCAGUCAGAGGCGAUGAAGGACGUGCUAAUCUGCGAUAAGCGUCGGUGAGGUGAUAUGAACCGUUAUAACCGGCGAUUUCCGAAUGGGGAAACCCAGUGUGUUUCGACACACUAUCAUUAACUGAAUCCAUAGGUUAAUGAGGCGAACCGGGGGAACUGAAACAUCUAAGUACCCCGAGGAAAAGAAAUCAACCGAGAUUCCCCCAGUAGCGGCGAGCGAACGGGGAGGAGCCCAGAGCCUGAAUCAGUGUGUGUGUUAGUGGAAGCGUCUGGAAAGGCGCGCGAUACAGGGUGACAGCCCCGUACACAAAAAUGCACAUACUGUGAGCUCGAUGAGUAGGGCGGGACACGUGGUAUCCUGUCUGAAUAUGGGGGGACCAUCCUCCAAGGCUAAAUACUCCUGACUGACCGAUAGUGAACCAGUACCGUGAGGGAAAGGCGAAAAGAACCCCGGCGAGGGGAGUGAAAAAGAACCUGAAACCGUGUACGUACAAGCAGUGGGAGCCUCUUAAUGGGGUGACUGCGUACCUUUUGUAUAAUGGGUCAGCGACUUAUAUUCUGUAGCAAGGUUAACCGAAUAGGGGAGCCGAAGGGAAACCGAGUCUUAACUGGGCGUUAAGUUGCAGGGUAUAGACCCGAAACCCGGUGAUCUAGCCAUGGGCAGGUUGAAGGUUGGGUAACACUAACUGGAGGACCGAACCGACUAAUGUUGAAAAAUUAGCGGAUGACUUGUGGCUGGGGGUGAAAGGCCAAUCAAACCGGGAGAUAGCUGGUUCUCCCCGAAAGCUAUUUAGGUAGCGCCUCGUGAAUUCAUCUCCGGGGGUAGAGCACUGUUUCGGCAAGGGGGUCAUCCCGACUUACCAACCCGAUGCAAACUGCGAAUACCGGAGAAUGUUAUCACGGGAGACACACGGCGGGUGCUAACGUCCGUCGUGAAGAGGGAAACAACCCAGACCGCCAGCUAAGGUCCCAAAGUCAUGGUUAAGUGGGAAACGAUGUGGGAAGGCCCAGACAGCCAGGAUGUUGGCUUAGAAGCAGCCAUCAUUUAAAGAAAGCGUAAUAGCUCACUGGUCGAGUCGGCCUGCGCGGAAGAUGUAACGGGGCUAAACCAUGCACCGAAGCUGCGGCAGCGACACUAUGUGUUGUUGGGUAGGGGAGCGUUCUGUAAGCCUGUGAAGGUGUGCUGUGAGGCAUGCUGGAGGUAUCAGAAGUGCGAAUGCUGACAUAAGUAACGAUAAAGCGGGUGAAAAGCCCGCUCGCCGGAAGACCAAGGGUUCCUGUCCAACGUUAAUCGGGGCAGGGUGAGUCGACCCCUAAGGCGAGGCCGAAAGGCGUAGUCGAUGGGAAACAGGUUAAUAUUCCUGUACUUGGUGUUACUGCGAAGGGGGGACGGAGAAGGCUAUGUUGGCCGGGCGACGGUUGUCCCGGUUUAAGCGUGUAGGCUGUUUUCCAGGCAAAUCCGGAAAACCAAGGCUGAGGCGUGAUGACGAGGCACUACGGUGCUGAAGCGACAAAUGCCCUGCUUCCAGGAAAAGCCUCUAAGCAUCAGGUAACAUCAAAUCGUACCCCAAACCGACACAGGUGGUCAGGUAGAGAAUACCAAGGCGCUUGAGAGAACUCGGGUGAAGGAACUAGGCAAAAUGGUGCCGUAACUUCGGGAGAAGGCACGCUGAUAUGUAGGUGAAGCGACUUGCUCGUGGAGCUGAAAUCAGUCGAAGAUACCAGCUGGCUGCAACUGUUUAUUAAAAACACAGCACUGUGCAAACACGAAAGUGGACGUAUACGGUGUGACGCCUGCCCGGUGCCGGAAGGUUAAUUGAUGGGGUUAGCGGUAACGCGAAGCUCUUGAUCGAAGCCCCGGUAAACGGCGGCCGUAACUAUAACGGUCCUAAGGUAGCGAAAUUCCUUGUCGGGUAAGUUCCGACCUGCACGAAUGGCGUAAUGAUGGCCAGGCUGUCUCCACCCGAGACUCAGUGAAAUUGAACUCGCUGUGAAGAUGCAGUGUACCCGCGGCAAGACGGAAAGACCCCGUGAACCUUUACUAUAGCUUGACACUGAACAUUGAGCCUUGAUGUGUAGGAUAGGUGGGAGGCUUUGAAGUGUGGACGCCAGUCUGCAUGGAGCCGACCUUGAAAUACCACCCUUUAAUGUUUGAUGUUCUAACGUGGGCCCCUUACCGGGGUUGCGGACAGUGUCUGGUGGGUAGUUUGACUGGGGCGGUCUCCUCCUAAAGAGUAACGGAGGAGCACGAAGGUUGGCUAAUCCUGGUCGGACAUCAGGAGGUUAGUGCAAUGGCAUAAGCCAGCUUGACUGCGAGCGUGACGGCGCGAGCAGGUGCGAAAGCAGGUCAUAGUGAUCCGGUGGUUCUGAAUGGAAGGGCCAUCGCUCAACGGAUAAAAGGUACUCCGGGGAUAACAGGCUGAUACCGCCCAAGAGUUCAUAUCGACGGCGGUGUUUGGCACCUCGAUGUCGGCUCAUCACAUCCUGGGGCUGAAGUAGGUCCCAAGGGUAUGGCUGUUCGCCAUUUAAAGUGGUACGCGAGCUGGGUUUAGAACGUCGUGAGACAGUUCGGUCCCUAUCUGCCGUGGGCGCUGGAGAACUGAGGGGAGCUGCUCCUAGUACGAGAGGACCGGAGUGGACGCAUCACUGGUGUUCGGGUUGUCAUGCCAAUGGCACUGCCCGGUAGCUAAAUGCGGAAGAGAUAAGUGCUGAAAGCAUCUAAGCACGAAACUUGCCCCGAGAUGAGUUCUCCCUGAGACUUAGAGUCUCCUGAAGGAACGUUGAAGACGACGACGUUGAUAGGCCGGGUGUGUAAGCGCAGCGAUGCGUUGAGCUAACCGGUACUAAUGAACCGUGAGGCUUAACCUUACAACGCCGAAG
rnacentral:rRNA from 1 species